rnacentral:rRNA from 1 species
CUUUCUUUGCUGGCGACCGGCGCACGGGUGAGUAACACGUAUCCAACCUGCCCUUUACUCGGGGAUAGCCUUUCGAAAGAAAGAUUAGUACCCGAUAGUAUAAUGAUUCCGCAUGGUUUCAUUAUUAAAGGAUUCCGGUAAAGGAUGGGGAUGCGUUCCAUUAGGUUGUUGGUGAGGUAACGGCUCACCAAGCCUUCGAUGGAUAGGGGUUCUGAGAGGAAGGUCCCCCACAUUGGAACUGAGACACGGUCCAA